GACGAACGCUGGCGGCGUGCCUAAUACAUGCAAGUAGAACGCUGAAGGAGGAGCUUGCUUCUCUGGAUGAGUUGCGAACGGGUGAGUAACGCGUAGGUAACCUGCCUGGUAGCGGGGGAUAACUAUUGGAAACGAUAGCUAAUACCGCAUAAUAUUGACUAUUGCAUGAUAGUCAGUUGAAAGGUGCAACUGCACCACUACCAGAUGGACCUGCGUUGUAUUAGCUAGUUGGUGGGGUAACGGCUCACCAAGGCGACGAUACAUAGCCGACCUGAGAGGGUGAACGGCCAAACUGGGACUGAGACACGGCCCAGACUCCUACGGGAGGCAGAAGUAGGGAAUCUUAGGCAAUGGGCGGAAGUCUGACCGAGCAACGCCGCGUGAGGGAAGAAGGUUGUCGGAUCGUAAAGCUCGGUUGUAAGAGAAGAACGAGUGUGAGAGUGGAAAGCUCACACUGUGACGGUAUCUUACCAGAAAGGGACGGCUAACUACGUG
rnacentral:rRNA from 1 species